UGAUAGCAUGCAGUCGACGAGAUCCAGCAGGUAGCAAUAUUUGCUGGUGAUAGUGGCGUAAGGGUGAGUAAUGCAUGGGUAAUCUGCCUUCUAGAUCGGCAUAGCCCGGCGAAAGCUGGGAUAAUUCCGGAUGUGAUCGAGCGGUGCAUACCGCUCCAUUCAAAGCUGGGGACCGCAAGGCCUGGCACUAGAAGAUGAGCCCAUGUCCUAUCAGCUAGUUGGUGAGGUAACGGCCCACCAAGGCUUACGGGUAGCUGGUCUGAGAGGACGACCAGCCACACUGGGACUGAGACACUGCCCAGACUCCUACGGGAGGCUGCAGUCGAGAAUCUUUCGCAAUGGGCGCAAGCCUGACGAAGCGACGCCGCGUGUAGGAUGAAGGUCUUCGGAUUGUAAACUACUGUCUUCGGGGAGCAAGGCCUCGGUGUUAAUAACGCCGAGGAAUGAUAGUACCCGAGGAGGAAGCCACGGCUAACUCUGUGCCAGCAGCCGCGGUAAUACAGAGGUGGCGAGCGUUGUUCGGAUUUACUGGGCGUAAAGGGUGCGUAGGCGGUCCCGUAUGUCGGAUGUGAAAUCCCAUCGAAAACGGUGGAACGGCAUUCGAAACUGCGGGGCUGGAGUGCAGGAGAGGAUGGUGGAAUUCUCGGUGUAGCGGUGAAAUGCGUUGAUAUCGAGAGGAACGCCGGUGACGAAGGUGACCAUCUGGACUGCUACUGACGCUGAGGCACGAAAGCUAGGGGAGCAAACAGGAUUAGAUACCCUGGUAGUCCUAGCCGUAAACGGUGUGAACUUGGUGUGGGAGGAAUUAUCCCUUCCGUGCCGUAGCUAACGCGAUAAGUUCACCGCCCUG
rnacentral:rRNA from 1 species